CGCGAAUUCGCCCUUCGGGGUGCAGCAGGCGCGAAAACUUUGCAAUAAGCGAAAGCUUGACAGGGCUAUCCCGAGUGCCAUCCGCUGAGGAAGGCUUUUACCCAGUCUAGAACGCUGGGGGAAUAAGGAGAGGGCAAGUCUGGUGUCAGCCGCCGCGGUAAUACCAGCUCUCCGAGUGGUGUGGAUGUUUAUUGGGCCUAAAGCAUCCGUAGCUGGCUAAGUUAGUCCCCUGUUAAAUCCACCGAAUUAAUCGUUGGAUCGCGGGGGAUACUGCUUGGCUAGGGGACGAGAGAGGCAGACGGUAUUUUCGGGGUAGGGGCGAAAUCCUAUAAUCCCGGGAAGACCACCAGUGGCGAAGGCUGUCUGCUAGAACGCGCCCGACGGUGAGGGAUGAAAGCUGGGGGAGCGAACCGGAUUAGAUACCCGGGUAGUCCCAGCUGUAAACGAUGCAGGCUAGGUGUUUGGACGGCCACGUGCCGUUCUAGUGCCGCAGGGAAGCUGUUAAGCCUGCCGCCUGGGGAGUACGAUCGCAAGAUUGAAACUUAAAGGAAUUGGCGGGGGAGCAC
rnacentral:rRNA from 1 species